CCCGCUGAACUUAAGCAUAUCAAUAAGCGGAGGAAAAGAAACUAACAAGGAUUCCCCUAGUAACUGCGAGUGAAGCGGGAAAAGCUCAAAUUUAAAAUCUGUCAGUCUUUGGCUGUCCGAGUUGUAAUCUAGAGAAGUGUUAUCCGCGCUGGACCGUGUACAAGUCUCCUGGAAUGGAGCGUCAUAGAGGGUGAGAAUCCCGGCUUUGACACGGACUGCCAGGGCUUUUGUGAUGCGCUCUCAAAGAGUCGAAUUGUUUGGGAAUGCAGCUCAAAAUGGGUGGUAAAUUCCAUCUAAAGCUAAAUAUUGGCGAGAGACCGAUAGCAAACAAGUAGAGUGAUCGAAAGAUGAAAAGUACUUUGAAAAGAGAGUGAAACAGUACGUGAAAUUGUUGAAAGGGAAGCGUUUGGCAUCAGCCCUUGGCAUCUGUCGAACAUCCGGGCUUCUGUCCGGUGCACUCGUCAGAUGUCGGGCCAGCGUCGGCUCUGCCUGUCGGAGAAAGGCCCAAGGGACGUGGCUCACCUUCGGGGGAGCGUUAUAACUCUGGGCGUCAUACGAUGUGGUGGGGCCGAGGUCUACGGAUUCUGUCCUAGGACGCUGGCGUAAUGGUUCCAAGCGACCCGUCUUGAAACACGG
rnacentral:rRNA from 1 species